rnacentral:rRNA from 1 species
AGUCGAGCGGCAGCACGGGGAGCUUGCUCCCUGGUGGCGAGCGGCGGACGGGUGAGUAACGCAUAGGAAUCUGCCCGGUAGUGGGGGAUAACCUGGGGAAACCCAGGCUAAUACCGCAUACGUCCUACGGGAGAAAGCAGGGGACCUUCGGGCCUUGCGCUAUCGGAUGAGCCUAUGCCGGAUUAGCUAGUUGGUGAGGUAAUGGCUCACCAAGGCGACGAUCCGUAGCUGGUCUGAGAGGAUGAUCAGCCACACUGGGACUGAGACACGGCCCAGACUCCUACGGGAGGCAGCAGUGGGGAAUAUUGGACAAUGGGGGCAACCCUGAUCCAGCCAUGCCGCGUGUGUGAAGAAGGCCUUCGGGUUGUAAAGCACUUUCAGCGAGGAAGAAGGCCUUGGGGUUAAUAACCCCGAGGAAGGACAUCACUCGCAGAAGAAGCACCGGCUAACUCCGUGCCAGCAGCCGCGGUAAUACGGAGGGUGCGAGCGUUAAUCGGAAUUACUGGGCGUAAAGCGCGCGUAGGCGGCUGAAUAAGCCGGUUGUGAAAGCCCCGGGCUCAACCUGGGAACGGCAUCCGGAACUGUUUGGCUAGAGUGCAGGAGAGGAAGGUAGAAUUCCCGGUGUAGCGGUGAAAUGCGUAGAGAUCGGGAGGAAUACCAGUGGCGAAGGCGGCCUUCUGGACUGACACUG